rnacentral:rRNA from 1 species
AUUGAACGCUGGCGGUAUGCUUAACACAUGCAAGUCGAACGGUAACAGGCCUUCGGGCGCUGACGAGUGGCGGACGGGUGAGUAACGCGUAGGAAUCUGCCUCAUAGUGGGGGGACAACGUGGGGAAACUCACGCUAAUACCGCAUACGCCCUACGGGGGAAAGCGGGGGAUCUUCGGACCUCGCGCUAUGAGAUGAGCCUGCGUUAGAUUAGCUAGUUGGUAGGGUAAAGGCCUACCAAGGCGACGAUCUAUAGCUGGUCUGAGAGGAUGAUCAGCCACACUGGGACUGAGACACGGCCCAGACUCCUACGGGAGGCAGCAGUGGGGAAUAUUGGACAAUGGGCGAAAGCCUGAUCCAGCCAUGCCGCGUGAGUGAUGAAGGCCCUAGGGUUGUAAAGCUCUUCACCGGUGAAGAUAAUGACGGUAACCGGAGAAGAAGCCCCGGCUAACUUCGUGCCAGCA